rnacentral:rRNA from 1 species
CGACCGGCGCACGGGUGAGUAACGCGUGGAAAACCUGCCGUAUACUGGGGGAUAACACUUAGAAAUAGGUGCUAAUACCGCAUAAGCGCACAGCUUCGCAUGAAGCGGUGUGAAAAACUCUGGUGGUAUACGAUGGUUCCGCGUCUGAUUAGCUAGUUGGUGGGGUAAUGGCCUACCAAGGCAACGAUCAGUAGCCGGCCUGAGAGGGUGAACGGCCACAUUGGGACUGAGACACGGCCCAAACUCCUACGGGAGGCAGCAG